UACGGAGGGUGCAAGCGUUAUCCGGAUUCACUGGGUUUAAAGGGUGCGUAGGCGGGUAGGUAAGUCAGUGGUGAAAUCCUGGAGCUUAACUCCAGAACUGCCAUUGAUACUAUCUAUCUUGAAUAUUGUGGAGGUUUGCGGAAUAUGUCAUGUAGCGGUGAAAUGCUUAGAUAUGACAUAGAACACCUAUUGCGAAGGCAGCAGGCUACACAUAUAUUGACGCUGAGGCACGAAAGCGUGGGGAUCAAACAGG
rnacentral:rRNA from 1 species